rnacentral:lncRNA from 1 species
CCCAAAUACAGGUGCGCCAAGCUUGUAGCGUUCUACCAAAGAAGACUCAAGGCUGUAAUCGCUGCCAAAGGUGCUUCAACAAAGUACUGAGUAAAGAGUCUGAAUACUUAUGUAAAUAAGAUUCUCCUUCUUCUGCUUCUCCUUCAUCUUGUCCAGCUGUUUGUUCUUCAGCAGGAUGCUGGGUUUGCUCUCCGGUGUCUUCUUCUGCAGAAUCUUGGCCAUGGCCUCCGCCCAUCCAGCAUUGGGUCUCUAAGCAAUGAUGCCACCGUUGCUGAUUCCUUGCCUCUCUACCAGAGAGAUACCUGGCUGACUACAGUGGAGCUGCAGGCCAAUGACGUCACCAGGCGAUGUUCCCACAGCUGAGCAGAGGAUCCAAUACGACAAACCAUGCAGCAGAUCCUCAAUGAAAAUAAUCCAACUGGUAACUCUGAAUUGGACUACCGGUUUCUGUCAAAACACCCACACUGUGAUGAAAGUGACCUUGUGAAAAUCCAAGAUAUGGAACAGCUUGGAUGUUAUCAGUCUUUGGACAAGUCAUGAUGAGGUUAAAUCUCUCACUCCUUCCCUCUCUCUCCUGGCCUGUUCUCUGUCACCUCUCCCCUCAUAUCUCCUCUACAGCACGUGGGUAUUGCGGCCUUCUUGAUCAAGUUCUAAUGAAGUGGCUGAUGAUAUCUGCAUCCUGUUGAUAGACACUAUGCCCCCAGAUGCAGAGACUGGAGGAGACAACAGCCAUUAUUUAAUAUCUGCUCAUAAUUACUGAACCAAAAUAUAAAUGCAAC